ACCUUCUGCUGGCAAGCUAUUUAAGGGCCAUGGAAGAAGGGUGCUUGCUUUCUCUGCAUGCUUGCUCUCACUCUUGAGAACAAGUCUACUCCUUCACUGGCAUUAAAGACGACUCUUUCAGAUGCUGGCAUCCACUGCAGACCAGCUGAGAUGUGCAGCCGUGUGGACUGAACAACAACUGAUUUCCGGACCUUCUAUUGGUAGACAGACAGCCGGUGUUGGACUAGCAGGACCACAGCCUGUAAAUGAGGGAGGUAGGGAAGGGAACUGCUCGAAGAGAUUCGGUGUGGCUAUCUCCUGGCUUGCAUGGCUUCUGGUAGAAUCCUGGAACUGCAGAAAAACCUUCACACCAUCCUCCUUUUUGUUCCUGUGUAUAUACACUGUGUUUUUCUUGGGCAACUUUUGAAAUGUUUCUCUUGGCCUAGGAUUUAAUUAAAAUGUGUCUGAGC
rnacentral:lncRNA from 1 species